UUCUGUUUGGUUUAAGCUUCUAAGGCAUGCGGCCAAAGAAGACAUUUCUAGGUUUUUGUUUUUUCUUCAUCUACCGUGCUUGUUCUUGCGAGCGAAACCUAUCUUAGCAUCCUUAGAGUAUUUGAUUUUCAUUUCUGUCUUUAAAUACUUGCUGCCUGAAAUCUUCACCUAUGGUUUUAGAGAAAUUUAUUUAAAUUUGUCUUUGAUUUCAAUUUUGUCUUAGGGUUUAAUCAAUAUUCCAGCUUAUACUAUCUUGUGCCAGCUAAUUUCUUUGAUUCUUGCAUAAUAUCAAGCAUAUUGAGACUAUUGCACUAAGUUGUGAUUUAAGAGUAGUUGAAGUUUGAUGAUCUAAAAUUGAGUAUUAGCAUGUUUGAUAGCUUAUGGGAAUUGAGAUUUGAUGAUUAGCUUGCUCUCCAUUUGCUGAGAAUUGUGAUAUACUUGAAUUUGCAAAUUGGUAUAAUUGUUGAAUUUGGAGGAAAUUAUUGAAACGUGGGGUUCGAGUUUGAAUUUGGUUUUGAAAUUUUACCAG
rnacentral:misc_RNA from 1 species